UGCGUUUAUAAAGAUCACAGUCCAUCAUAGAGAUAUGUUCUAAUCUUCCUCUGCUUCAAUUAACUCCCAAUGCAUAUAUAUCUAUAUAUGUGUGUGUAUAUUUUAUAUAUGAACAUUUUGAUUGAGAAAGACACACGGCAAUAUUGAAGACUCAAGUUUCGGAUGCAUUGACUUCUUCUCAAUUCACUGAUUUUUGCUGGCAUUCAAUAGGAUUCAUUGUGCAAUGUGAUACUCUACUUGUGGUGUUGGUCAUUGUAGGGCUCGUCAAUCAAGUGAAAGCCAAAUGACCAUAUUUUUCAAUGGAAGGGUUUGUGUCUGUGAUGUGACUGAACUUCAGGCCAGAACCAUCAUAUGGCUUGCAAGAAAAGAAAUGGACCAGAAGAAAUCCAAGACAGCAGGUUUGGACACCACAAAUAUUCCAUCUCCUCAAUCUCAAAUUUACAGCCCUCCUGGACUUUCCAUGAAGAAAUCUCUCCAGAGGUUCCUCCAAAGGCGAAAAGAUCGGAUUCAAGGAAGGUCGUCGCCGUACAAUAACUUGUCUGAAAUCGAAUCCUCAAGUGAAAAACACAGAACUGCUUGAUUUUAAAAUAGAUAGAAGAGUAAUGUACUUAUUGUUAUUAGUAGUUCAUGAGUUCUUUUCCUUGAAAUGAAAUAGUAGUACAUUAUUAGUGUUACUUUGAAGAAAAUCAUCCUUGUGAUGAUUCCAUAAAUUCAAUUUCUUACUUUUUCAAUCGCAGGUGACGUGGCCUUAUGUAAAUAAGUCAUCCCACCGAUAAAAAGCGCAGAAAAUGAAUAAAUGUUUGGUUCGGUUUUUUU